GACAGAGGGUGCAAACGUUGUUCGGAAUUACUGGGCGUAAAGCGCGUGUAGGCGGCUUGGCAAGUCGGAUGUGAAAGCCCUGGGCUCAACUCAGGAAGUGCAUUCGAAACUGCCGAGCUUGAGUUCCGGAGAGGAAAGCGGAAUUCUCGGUGUAGAGGUGAAAUUCGUAGAUAUCGAGAGGAACAUCGGUGGCGAAGGCGGCUUUCUGGACGGCAACUGACGCUGAGACGCGAAAGCGUGGGGAGCAAACAGG
rnacentral:misc_RNA from 1 species